ensembl:lncRNA novel transcript, overlapping to P2RY2
UAAUCUUGCAGCACCUCAGUUUUCCCAUUUCUAAAGUGUGCUGCUACCUUCCAUGCAGGGCGUUGAGGGGCUUCCCUACGUUAUUACGCACAAAGUCCUCCUCACAGUGCCUGGUGUGUGGUCAGCAUUUAUAUGCCUGGCACCAGGCCGGGGGCUAUGGAGGCAAAUCAGCUGGGCCCUGCCCUCACAGAGUUGACAUCACUUAGUACGUAACCACAUUGGGAUACAUGUUUUGAAGGAGAGGACAGUGUGUCUGGCCAGUGAGCAACAGUGGGCCAUACGUCUCCAGGGAACCCCCGUGGGGUGUGGGAGGAGGGAAGCAGGUCUGUCCUGGGGGAAUGUGUGGGACCACCUCUGCCCUGCUUGGCAGUAGGUGGAUUUCAGGACCAUGGGCCUGUGCUGUUUACAGAACCUUGUCCAGGUGCCCAGCUGUGGGAGGGCAGCAUGGAGAGGAGGAAGAGGGGGCCCCUAGUAGCAAGCUUCAGAAACUUGCCACUUCAGGCUAGAGAGCUCGCACCCUCCCACGGCAGCAGGGUAGCCAUUUCUCCCUGACUGGGGUGUCCACCAUGGUGCUCUGCAGCCACCUCUCACUUCAUUAAGAGUCCACAGAUCUAGGAGCAGAGGACUGGUCUGGAGCUGGGCAAGGGCAGGCAGCAAAUGGGGAGUUUUUGCUGUGUGACCUGAGGUCACUUGCCUGCCUUCUCUGGACUGCACUGUAGGGCCUGGAGACCUGUUCCCCUGUUCCAAUUUCCCCACCUCAGUGAAGGCACAACCAACAGCUGCUCCCCGGGCAUUUCCAAGACCCUCCAGGCCCCCAGCUCUGAGGACUAGGGUGGAGGCAGUGUUUCUCCCCAGCAUCAAGUGACCAGAGAAGUGAAGUGACCCCACUGCCGCCACACAGAGCCACACAGUGCGAUGUCUGGAGCUCCUGCCUCCUGCAAGGUGGAGGGUGGGGCUUGGCCAGGAGUGACCAGACUACAGAGUGAGGGGUGUGCUUGUGGGGGUGAAGGGUUGGGGUGAGAACUGAGCCCGAGUCGAACUCAUCCUCCUCUGCCCUGAUGCACUGUGCAACUUGGGGGAGUCACUGUCCCUCUCUGGGCCUCGCUUUCCCCAUCUUCGAUAGGACUUGGCUCUGCCUGGCCACUCCUCCUCCAAUGGGGGAAUUCCUGGGCUUGCCUCUGUCUUGGCUCCAGCUCAGGUGUCAGUCUCAGCCCUGUCCCAGCCAGGAACAAUGGGCCAGGCAGGGCCAGUCACCCCCUGUCCCUGGGGGCUCCACCCACGGCCCUGGACUAUUUUCAGCCCUUGCAGAUGGAGUCAGAAGAGGAUUUUCCACUCCCAGUACAAUGACUGCCCUGGACCAUUGUCCAGCAGUGACGCGGGGGACCUGCCUGCCCCAAAAUAUCUCCUGCCCCUAGUUUCCAAGCCUCUUUGCCCUGCUCCUCACCUCCUGGCCCUGCUCCUUACCUCCCCACCCUGAUGUCAUUUCCUGGGGCUCUUAACUCCUGAAGGCCAUUGUGAAACAUCACGUGAGACUCCUGGGAGACACAACCAGUUGGAAUGAGUUUUCCCUCCUGGCAGGGACCCCAGGGAUUGUUUGGCUGCUUAGUGGGACUGGUGGCCCAGAGAGGGCUGUGCCUUACCCAGUCACACAGCAGUCAGUGUGAAGCUUAGGUGUAAGCCCAGGGCUCUUUGGCUGCUCCCACUGCCUCAGCCAACUUCAUUAGCUCCAGUCUGUGGCUCCUGGACUGGAGCUACAGUGGUGAGAGCUCACCACUGAGCUUCCUGGGAUGGGCACCUGGGAUAGCAGCCCAAGUGGUGUGGGUGGAGAGGUGCAGCUCAUGCUCUGACCUUGGAGUGAGCCCAGUGCAGGGGCCUGACCUUAAACCCUUUCUCCCCACUGAGUCCCAUUUUUACCAAAUGUGGCUGUUAGGAACUGAAUGUUUGUGUCCCCCGCCCCACAAAUCCAUAUGUCAAAAUCCCAACUGCCAAGGUGAUGGUAUUAGAAGGUGGGGCCUUUGGGAAGUAACCAGGUCCUAAGGGUGCAGCCCUCAUGAAUGGGUUUAGUGCCCUUACAGAAUGGACCCCAGAGAGCUCCUCACCCUCUUUCCACCAUGUGAGGAUAUAAUGAGAAGUUGGCAGUCUGCAACCUGGAAGAGGUCCCUCACCAGAUCCCAACCAUGCUGGCACCCCGAUCUUAGACUUCCAGUCUUCAGAAUGGUGAGAAAUAAAUGUCUCUUGUUUCUAAUCCACCCAGUCGGUGGCAUUUUGUUAUAGCAGCCCACGCUGACUGUGACUGAACUCAGGGUGACAGAGCAGCAGCUCUGGGGCAAAGGGGAGGGUGGGGGCCACAGGGCAGCUGAUGCAGGAGCAGGGCUCUGGCACAGUUCAGCCAUCACCAAUUCUGGGACUGCAAAUUCAGUUUCUUCAUCUGGAAAAUUGAACUGGUAAUACCAAUACCUCUUUUCCCGGUUUACUAGACAGAGACAAUGCAGUGAGGCACAAACAUGCAACUGUUUGAUUUUCCUCCCACCCAUGCUCCCUGCUCAGUGACGUGUGAUUUUCCUUUCCCAUCCAUAAACUGCGCAUUUGGCAAACUCCAAACUUUUGAGUCACUUUUGGGUAACAAAGUCAGGUUUAAGAUUUCCAUCGCCUGCUUAAUUGAAUGCUCACCUGUCCUCUUCCCCCAUGCUGUGAGGACCUUCAUCACUCCUCUUCUGGGUCCCUCUCUCCUCUAGGUGUUGGGGCAGGGUGGGGAGGAAAGGGACCAAUGUGUCUUUCCUGGUGAUGCUACAGCCCUCUCUUGCUGACCUUGCUUCCUGGGCCAUCAGUGCCCCCUGCACAGAACUCUCCAAACAUCAGUCCACACCUUUGUAAAAACAGUCUCUCCGCUAAGCUAUCCCAAAAUGACCUGAUUAGAGUGUGCAACGUCUUUCCUGCUGGGACUCUGACUGAUACCCUGGUCUCCCUGAGUGAUUUUCCUGCACACCCUGCUGGGGAUGUGGAAGCCUGUCCCCCUCCCACCCCACACCCCACACUUGGCUGAGAUCUCACAGUGGCAAAGAUGUCUUUGAAUCCAUGGUGCCCAGGGUUCAGCGUGUAGAGUGAGGUGGGGUGUGUAGAGAGCUGGGGCAAGGAACCCUGAGAAGAUGUCUUACCCCAGUUGUUUCCAGGUUUCUUUAGAAAGCGGGCUAUUUUACCCCAUGUGUCCUCAGAUUUAUGUCCUGGAACCAAAUUCCAAAUCAGCAGCCACAUGAAAAGUCCCCUCCUCUCUGGCGUGGAAUUAAACUGUUAGACCUGCCUUUGUGACCAAAGCAAUUGUAAAACGUGGGGGAGGAAAUUAAAAGCCUGCCACCUUAGUCCA